rnacentral:rRNA from 1 species
UGAACGCUGGCGGCAGGCCUACCACAUGCAAGUCGAACGGUAACAGGAAGAAGCUUGCUUCUUUGCUGACGAGUGGCGGACGGGUGAGUAAUGUCUGGGAAACUGCCUGAUGGAGGGGGAUAACUACUGGAAACGGUAGCUAAUACCGCAUAACGUCGCAAGACCAAAGAGGGGGACCUUCGGGCCUCUUGCCAUCGGAUGUGCCCAGAUGGGAUUAGCUAGUAGGUGGGGUAACGGCUCACCUAGGCGACGAUCCCUAGCUGGUCUGAGAGGAUGACCAGCCACACUGGAACUGAGACACGGUCCAGACUCCUACGGGAGGCAGCAGUGGGGAAUAUUGCACAAUGGGCGCAGGCCUGAUGCAGCCAUGCCGCGUGUAUGAAGAAGGCCUUCGGGUUGUAAAGUACUUUCAGCGGGGAGGAAGGGAGUAAAGUUAAUACCUUUGCUCAUUGACGUUACCCGCAGAAGAAGCACCGGCUAACUCCGUG